rnacentral:rRNA from 1 species
GAUGAACGCUGGCGGCGUGCCUAAUACAUGCAAGUCGAGCGAACAGACGAGGAGCUUGCUCCUCUGACGUUAGCGGCGGACGGGUGAGUAACACGUGGAUAACCUACCUAUAAGACUGGGAUAACUUCGGGAAACCGGAGCUAAUACCGGAUAAUAUAUUGAACCGCAUGGUUCAAUAGUGAAAGACGGUUUUGCUGUCACUUAUAGAUGGAUCCGCGCCGCAUUAGCUAGUUGGUAAGGUAACGGCUUACCAAGGCAACGAUGCGUAGCCGACCUGAGAGGGUGAGCGGCCACACUGGAACUGAGACACGGCACAGACUCAUACGGGAGGCAGCAGUAGGGAAUCUUCCGCAAGGGGCGAAAGCCUGACGGAGCAACGCCGCGUGAGUGAUGAAGGUCUUCGGAUCGUAAAACUCUGUUAUUAGGGAAGAAAAAAUGUGUAAGUAACUAUGCACGUCUAGACGGUACCUAAUCAGAAAGCCACGGCUAACUACG